AUGCAGGAAACAACUAGAAACCUCUUGAUGAUCAUAAUGGUAACAUGCACAUCAUGUGAAUCAUUUUCUUCAUAUGAGCAUCGUCGUAGAAGCUUACAAGCCACCACACUCGCUGCCAUUUUUCUUCUUCGAUCAUCGCUUUCCCUUCGUCUCCUUCAUCUCAAUCCCGUUUUGAUUCAACUCGUCUUCUCCAAUUUUCUUCCGUUUUUGUUUCACGCAUCUCUACCGUUAUCAAUCGUUCCUCUGGUUGCAAGCCGCCAAUAUUGUUGCACCGGUCUUAACAACGUGAUUACUAACCUCUGA